GACGAACGCUGGCGGCGUGCCUAAUACAUGCAAGUCGAGCGCAGGAAACUGACGGUACUCUUCGGAGGGAAGGCAGUGGAAUGAGCGGCGGACGGGUGAGUAACACGUAAGGAACCUGCCUCAAGGAUUGGGAUAACUCCGAGAAAUCGGAGCUAAUACCGGAUAGUUCAACGGACCGCAUGGUCCGCUGAUGAAAGGCGCUCCGGCGUCACCUUGAGAUGGCCUUGCGGUGCAUUAGCUAGGUGGUGGGGCAACGGCCCACCAAGGCGACGGUGCAUAGCCGACCCGAGAGGGUGACCGGCCAAACUGGGACUGAAACACGGCCCAGACUCCUACGGGAGGCAGCAGUAGGGAAUCUUCCACAAUGGACGAAAGUCUGAUGGAGCAACGCCGCGUGAGUGAUGAAGGUUUUCGGAUCGUAAAACUCUGUUGUAAGGGAAGAACACGUACGAGAGGAAAUGCUCGUACCUUGACGGUACCUUACGAGAAAGCCACGGCUAACUACGUGCCAGCAGCCGCCGUAAUAC
rnacentral:rRNA from 1 species